CAUGAAAAAGAAACUUGCUCGGGAAGAUGUCGAUGGAUCUCUGCCACUGAAUUUCGAAGGAGAUAUUUUAGUGGACUUGGGCCACCAAAUGAAAAGCAAGGUCCAGAAUGAGUUUAGUCAAGACGAGGGCUCACUUGUAACGCUGAUCCAAAGUGGAACUGGGUUAGGAGGCCGAAAAUGAAAGAGAAAAACAAAGUAAGUUAAAACCAAAGCCCAAAAGGAUACUACUUGCUCUGGAGAAACAACGACGAAGAAACGGGAAGCUCCUGAGAUUGGAGAUGACUUGCAAAGAACCCCAAAACGUGCGCUCGUACAUAGGACGAAGUAUGCAUAGUUUGUUGAUGACCAACCAAAGAAAUUGGCGGUGGCUGACUCACAGCCCCGCCGGGAGCCAUGAAAACCUUAAGUUGGAAUUCUCCGUGGGUUUGGGAAAUUCGUACACUUCGUGACAUUGUCAAGAAGGAAGAUUAUGACAUAAUAUUCCUUCAAGAAACAAAAUAAGGCCAGAGCUAUGGAAACUUAAAUUCACAAGGAUUUGGCAUCUUUACCAAGUACAAAAUUAAAGACAAUUUGCUGUUGGAAUCCUCCUCCUACUAACUACUUUAAACUUAAUGUGGAUGAAGUGAGAAUUUUUUACCACCAUAAGGCAACUGUGGGAGCUAUUCUAAGAGAUGAAAAUGACAACGUUGUGAUGGCUGCCAACAAAGUUGAGAAUGAAGUGUUUGACCUGGAAACAAUUGAUCUUAUUGCUAUGCUUUGAGGCUUAUAGCUCUGUGCACAUUUGGGGUUUUCAAAGUUAAUUCUUGAAGGUGAUUGUAUGUUGUGGUAAAGGCACUACAAGAGGAAGGUGCAUCAUUUUCACAUCUUGGGAAUCUGCAGAAAGAAGUGCAGGGGAUGCUACUACACUUUGUCGUGUACAAAGUUCAACAUGUACGUGGGAUGGGAAAUGAGGCUGCACAUAGACUUGCACGUAACGCUUGGAAGGUUGAGAACAUUGAAAUGUGGUGGGAUGAUGUCCUAAUGUUUGUUUCUCCGGCUGUUCGGCUUGAUAAAACCCAAAUGUAAUAGUUUAUCUUAUUAAUGUUAUGUUUGUUGUUAUGAAAAAACUCAAUAAAUAAAGUCAAUCUCGAAUUAUAUUCU